rnacentral:rRNA from 1 species
AUUGAACGCUGGCGGCAGGCUUAACACAUGCAAGUCGAGCGGAGAUGAGGUGCUUGCACCUUAUCUUAGCGGCGGACGGGUGAGUAAUGCUUAGGAAUCUGCCUAUUAGUGGGGGACAACAUUCCGAAAGGAAUGCUAAUACCGCAUACGCCCUACGGGGGAAAGCAGGGGAUCUUCGGACCUUGCGCUAAUGGAUGAGCCUAAGUCGGAUUAGCUAGUUGGUGGGGUAAAGGCCUACCAAGGCGACGAUCUGUAGCGGGUCUGAGAGGAUGGUCAGCCAAACUGGGACUGAGACACGGCCCAGACUCCUACGGGAGGCAGCAGUGGGGAAUAUUGGACAAUGGGCGGAAGCCUGAUCCAGCCAUGCCGCGUGUGUGAAGAAGGCCUUUUGGUUGUAAAGCACUUUAAGCGAGGAGGAGGCUACCUGGAUUAAUACUCUAGGAUAGUGGACGUUACUCGCAGAAUAAGCACCGGCUAACUCUGUGCCAGCCGCCGCCGUAAAAC